GACGGCGCCGAGGCGUUGCGCCCGUCCUCGCUGUGUUGUAAAAAAGAAGCGUUUCCCGGAGUGUGGCAAUGGCACGCAAUCCCCACCGGGAACGGGACAGAAAUAUAUAUCACAGCAGAGAAGAAAGUGAAGACACACUGUUGGCAUUCCAGAUGCUGUUCCAGUUUGGGAUUGUGCUUUUCUUACCACAGCCUUAAAGGACUUUGUGGAGAAACAGCACGCUCUGCAUUAAUUGACAGCUUGAUCUGGUUCCUGCCUCUCCAUUCAUCAUGUGGGCAUGGUCAUAGGAGGAAUUUCAAACCAUGCAAGUGAGAACAGCAAGUGCAGCUGGACCUUGAGUGCCACAACUGAUUUGGAUGAACGAUUGUGGAAAGAGCAGUUUGAAAAGUCAAUGGCAAGUACAUUGAAGAAGUCGUUCAUUCUGUGGUUUUGAGGACUCCAAAGUAAAUGGGUGACAGACUGGAUCAGGGAAGAUGUUGCUGCCACGUCCACAUGCAAGAGUAACCUGGCAUGUACUCCAGGCCUAUGACUUCCUAAAAACAGUUGUACGUACCUUUUUUUUUUUUUUUUUUUUUUUGCUUGGAAAUGGCCAUGUAGAAAUUAUUUAUCCAUCCCUUUUAGCAAAUGAAUUUUAGUUUCUGGAGUUUUCAAGGAUGGGUAAAGAUAACUUUACUCAAUUUGAAAUCUGGACCACUUUGGUUAACUAGUAGACCACCGAGCAUUUUUUAUUUCCUGAAGCUUCAUCGUUAGUUCUCAUCAGAUAUUUUGAAAAAAAAUGUGUCAAGUGAAUAUAUCUGGUGAAGACCGUUGCCAAAGAAUAUACGACAUUUCAACUAAAUUGAAUCAAAUUAGAAAUUCAAGUGACUGCUCUGUAGUGUUUUUUCUUUAUUCAAGUAAUGAUACUACCCAUAGAGGUAGGAAUUGAGUGAUUUUUGCAAAAUUCAAACAUGCUUUCAUCUCUUGUGUGCAGAUGAAAUGCUGCCUGCUGGUAUUUAUCUGCUUUUUUGAUUGAUAUUCUGUGAUUCCUGCACAGUCCCAGGAGAGCAGAAUGCCGGCAAUGUUUUGCAACUGAUGUGAUGAAAUGAAGUACAGGUAGUUUCCACACAAAGGAUCUUCCUCUACAUUUGCAAUCUCAAAUGCCUCAUAGCUUUAGCCUCCCCAGGGGGACGAUAGGAUGUUCCCUGGCAGGCUUCAUGCUUUGAGACGUGGGAUCCGCAUGAUCCGUUUUGUCCCCAGGUGCUGUGUGGAGCAUUUCUGGCUGGCAGGCAUUGGCCAGAGUUUCAUUUUGGCUCCUCUUUAUCUGUGACGUGUUUUCUGGCAGAAUUCCUGUGGCAUGUGGAGUUGGGUCUCUUUCCUUGUAGAUUUCUAAAGUAAACAAUUUAACUGAAUGUUUGAAUACUUGUAACUAGCAAUAGCACCAAGCCAUAUGCGCUGCGGUGACUUGAAGCCAGUGCUUCUCUUCCAGAAAUUGUUAUGAAUUUAUUUUGUGUGUUUGAUUUGCCAUUGUGAAUCUUACACAGAGAUGAUGAUUGGAGACACUUUCUUAAUUAUUCUCUUACUGUGCUUAUGUGAAUUGAAUUGGCAUGGUCAAGGAUGUUGCUUAGAAUCGAAUUAUAACCUUUGGGGGACUUGGCGUAGGGUCUCCUGACUUCUGCUUUUUUCCCUGUGAUGGUGCACAGGAUUUCGUAUUAUGAUAAAAUCCUGUUGAAAUAAUUGAGGGUUCUGAAAAUCAAGGCAUCUGGAAAUCUGUGGAUGGGUGGAACUUGGAUCUAACCUUCACAUAGUUGGAUCUAUCUCCCAAGGGAUAGGAAGUACUGUAUUGUUCACAAUCUCCAGCCAGUGUCUCCCUCCUCCCAUGUUGAAUGUCAUUUUAAUACAGCUUCUAUAGGAUAGGUUGGAGAGGGGGACAGAUCUACGUUUACAACUGCCAUACUUACCAGCCUGGGAGGUAUGAGUUCCAUCUUUGUGCCUGCUGCAUUUGGUAUUUGAUAGGAGUUAGUGCUGGAAAUAUCUCUUCCAUUUGUGCUUUUUAUGAUCAUAAAUUGAGACUCUAACUCAUCUUUUUAUCAUGAACUAGAACUAGAGCACUAGGGCUUGUGCUACUUUGGACCCUGGCUUUGGAGAUAUCCCUGAGGAAGCUUCCAGUGUGGCUGUGGGCCCUGCUGGGAUUUUUAAUUUGCAUUGCUUUCUUUCGUUUUUCUCCUUUAAACUUCUUCCAGUCCUCUUUUAGUUGUCAUUAUUGGAGGUGAGGUUUUUAUCUCCGCUUCUGAAAGCUUCAAUUUCCACAAAGAUUUUAUAUGGUGUUGUAAUCAUUGUAAGAGUGUAAAGAAUAACUGUAAUCAAGUUGGUCUGCUGUGGACUUUAAUGUUUAAUGCAAGUCUUCUUCUUGCCCUUGGCUGCUACCCUUGGCUCCCCUCUCCAAGGGUGCUAAACACUGAGCAGUAUCCCUGAUGCAUCUAAUUUAGGACAUCUGCCACCUGCACAAUAGAGUUAAGAAGAGACAUCCCCCAAUUCCUAAUUAACUUGACAAAAGCAUUUUGUUCUACAGUCCUGUCCCUCCAGAGGGGAAGAGAAACCCAAGGCCACAGCACAGUUGUGAGUGCUGCUCUCCGGAGCUUGCACGCUUGCCACAGCUGGGGAUUAGACAGCUGAAGAAAAUAGUGCAGCAAGAAGUGGCAAUGGCAGCUCUUGGGAUGAGAUGACAUCUGCCAGGAGAAACGUGGUGUUGGGAUCUUCUGCAGCAUAGGGUUGUUUUUCCCCAUUGUGCACUCUGGUGUAGACUUGCUUUCCCUGUCAUCCUUUGCUCAUUAAUGAAGAUGGUAAUUGGUCUUUACUGGCCAGAGAUUUCAGCAGUUGUGAGUGACUUUCUGAGAGCAAUUUUGCUUUUUUUUUU